UGUCGCUUAGAUAAAUGAAAUAUGAUAUCGAACAGUUAAUACGCUUUUAAAACUGACCCUGCUAAACCGAAUACUUUCCCAUAUAAGAGUUAUCUCCCCGAACACUGUUUUUCUUGUUAUCGCUUAAUCUUCGCAACCUUAAAAGAAACUGACAAAUUUAUUUUACUAAAUUGCUCGUUAUAUCCUCAGGAUGAUUUGAUUCAUUUUGACCGAAGCUAUCCGGAGAUUCCAUAUGAGAGUUAU
rnacentral:lncRNA from 1 species